rfam:Camelus ferus unplaced genomic scaffold scaffold1271, whole genome shotgun sequence.
GAGGGUGUAGCUCAAGUGGUAGAGCGCAUGCUUAGCAUGCACAAGGUCCUGGGUUCAAUCCCCAGUACCUCCU